AAUCUAUACGGUGAAACUGCGAAUGGCUCAUUAAAUCAGUUAUCGUUUAUUUGAUAGUACCUUACUACAUGGAUAACCGUGGUAAUUCUAGAGCUAAUACAUGCUAAAAACCCCGACUUCGGGAGGGGUGUAUUUAUUAGAUAAAAAACCAACGCCCUUCGGGGCUCCUUGGUGAUUCAUGAUAACUCAACGAAUCGCAUGGCCUUGCGCCGGCGAUGGUUCAUUCAAAUUUCUGCCCUAUCAACUUUCGAUGGUAGGAUAGUGGCCUACCAUGGUAUCAACGGGUAACGGGGAAUUAGGGUUCUAUUCCGGAGAGGGAGCCUGAGAAACGGCUACCACAUCCAAGGAAGGCAGCAGGCGCGCAAAUUACCCAAUCCCGACACGGGGAGGUAGUGACAAUAAAUACUGAUACAGGGCUCUUUUGGGUCUUGUAAUUGGAAUGAGUACAAUUUAAAUCCCUUAACGAGGAACAAUUGGAGGGCAAGUCUGGUGCCAGCAGCCGCGGUAAUUCCAGCUCCAAUAGCGUAUAUUAAAGUUGUUGCAGUUAAAAAGCUCGUAGUUGAACCUUGGGCCUGGCUGGCCGGUCCGCCUCACCGCGUGUACUGGUCCGGCCGGGCCUUUCCUUCUGGGGAUCCGCAUGCCCUUCACUGGGCGUGCCGGGGAACCAGGACUUUUACUUUGAAAAAAUUAGAGUGUUCAAAGCAGGCCUUUGCUCGAAUACAUUAGCAUGGAAUAAUAGAAUAGGACGUGUGGUUCUAUUUUGUUGGUUUCUAGGACCGCC
rnacentral:rRNA from 1 species